rnacentral:rRNA from 1 species
GACGGGGGAUGCAAGUGUUAUCCGGAAUCACUGGGCGUAAAGCGUCUGUAGGUGGUUCGAAAAGUCCACUGUUAAAGAUUGAGGCUUAACUUCAAAAAUGCCGUGGAAACUUUCAAACUAGAGUAUGGUAGGGGUAGAGGGAAUUUCCAGUGGAGCGGUGAAAUGCGUAGAUAUUGGAAAGACCACCGAUGGCGAAGGCACUCUACUGGGCCAUUACUGACACUGAGAGACGAAAGCUAGGGGAGCAAAUGGG